AACGAACGCUGGCGGCAUGCCUAACACAUGCAAGUCGAACGAGACCUUCGGGUCUAGUGGCGCACGGGUGCGUAACGCGUGGGAACCUGCCCUUAGGUUCGGAAUAACUCCCCGAAAGGGGUGCUAAUACCGGAUAAUGUCUUCGGACGAAAGAUUUAUCGCCUUUGGAUGGGCCCGCGUUGGAUUAGCUAGUUGGUAGGGUAAAAGCCUACCAAGGCGACGAUCCAUAGCUGGUCGGAGAGGAUGAUCAGCCACACUGGGACUGAGACACGGCCCAGACUCCUACGGGAGGCAGCAGUGGGGAAUAUUGGACAAGGGGCGAAAGCCUGAUCCAGCAAUGCCGCGUGAGUGAUGAAGGCCUUAGGGUUGUAAAGCUCUUUUACCCGGGAUGAUAAUGACAGUACCGGGAGAAUAAGCUCCGGCUAACUCCGUG
rnacentral:rRNA from 1 species